CUCACUAGAAACCUUCAUUGUUUUCCUGCAACAUGAGUUUGUCUUUUCUUUUUCACAGACUGGAGCUGCAGCCCAAACCUGCAGGAUGUCACCAGCUAUGAUCAUAUUCCUUCUUAUAUUGUCUCCAUAUCAAGUUAGGAGCGUGACUUUCCAACCAUCUCAUCCCAAAAUAAUCAGCAUCAUGGACAACGUGAACAUUGAAUGUAUUCAUGAUGAUAGUAAUCUUGUUGUGAUGCUCUGGUACCAGCAGACCGAACAGAUGAGUCUAAUAGGAUACGGCUACAUUGGGAGUGAAGCUGUUACGGAGAAGGACUUUGGAAGUCGGUUCACAAUUGCGAGAAAAGACACCCUAACAGGAAGUCUGACUAUCAGCUCUGUCAACGUGUCAGACUCUGCUGUGUAUUUCUGUGCUGUUCACUGGGACUCUGGUGUUAAUGAAGCUUACUUUGGAGCUGGAACGAGGUUAACGGUUUUAGGUAAGAAACCAGAAAACUGAUGAAAUUCAUCUCAGCAGGUUGUGUGUUUGUGUGAGAAGAUCUGUUCGUCCUAAAUCUGCUUCAGUUUGGUGCCUUCUGUUGUUAAAGCUAAACUCUGACAGGACGAAGUCAGGAAACCAACGGAUGAGUUCAGACAAACAUAAUCAGGCUGCUAAAGAGGAGUUUAGUAGCUUUUAGAUCAUAGAUGAAAACAAUCAGCAGCAACAGAACUGGAUUUAUUACAGAAUCAACAUAAAUCAGAAGUAAAAGCAACAUCUUCAGCUGUUUUCAGCACUGAUCAGGUUCACUGUGCCUUUGGUGGUCUUGAAGCUUUCUUCGGCAGAGGAA